AGGAUAUAGCGUUUGAUAUUGGCGCAGGGAGAAUGCUAGCGAUGAGAACCAACACAUGCAAGUCGAAAGGCGAACGGGUGAGUAAAAAUUCGGUAUCUACCUCAACAGAGAGGGGCUGAAAGACGAUUAGUUAGUAGGCGGGGUAAAGGCCCACCUAGGCCAAGAUCGUUAGCUGGUAUGGAAGUAUGAGCAGCCACACUCGAACUGAAACACGGUCGAGACUCAAUAACCGAGGCAGCAGUGGAGAAAAUUGUGCAAUGGAUGAAAAUCUGACACAGCUACAUCGCAAAGAAGCACUAGGGAUAGUGACCAGAGUGUAGAAAGAGCCGUCCAAGUAGCGUGCCAGCAGACGCGGUAAGACGCUGGGCUCGAGUAUUUCCCGUCAUGACUAGAGGUGUAAAGGAUGCGUAGGCGGAUCAUAAUAAGAUCUAGUGUUCGAAGAAAGAUUUAAGAAAGGUUAGUGUAUCGGUGGAAUGAAGAGAGAUUAACAGUAAUACCAAAGGUGAAGACAUAAAUCCCAAACGAACAGACGUUGAGGCAUGAAGGCUUAGGGAGCAAACAAGAUUAGAUACCUUGGUAGUCUAAGCAGUAAACGAUGAUUACUAGAUACUCAAAAAGUGUCAAAGAGAAAUCGCUAAGUAAUCCACCUGAGUACUACGGUCGCAAGACUAAAAUUUAAAAUAAUUGGCAGUUUAGAAAAUCUAGCCGGAGGAGCAUGUAGCUUAAUUCGAUAACACACGAAGAAUCUUACCUAAGUUAGUGUUCGCAAGAACUCAGAUACUGCAUGAUCGCCGUCAGUCUGUAUAGAAUAUAACAAACAAAAUCCAUUAAAAUGGAAGACGUCAGAUGAUAUGGUUCAUAUACUUAGGGCAGCAUAUGUGCUACAGUGAGCGGAGUAGAGCGAAGAAAAUAUGUAAAUAUGAUCGACCAGUAAAACCCGCGAGAAGAACGGAAAAUUGUUUGCAAUAACGAUUGGAAGGCGGAUUCGGUAGUAAUCACAAAUAAGUAAGUUGUGGUGAAUUUAGCAAUUCUAUUUGUACAAAUUGCUCAUCAUCUCAGGGAAGUGUAUUUAUACAUGAUCUUGAGAAAGUUGAAACAUGGUUUCGGUACGGGAACGUGCAGAAGGACAGAGCGCGUA
rnacentral:rRNA from 1 species